AUACAAACUGUACACUCACUACUUUAAAUUGUAGCAAAGUGUCAUUUCUUCAGUGUUGUCAGAUGAAAAGAUGUAAUCAAAUAUUUACUAAAAUGUGAGGGGUGGACUCACUUUUGUGAGAUGUAUAAAUCACACUGUAUAUACUGGACAUGGGUAAAUGAAAGAAAAACCUGAAUAAAAGAUUGGAGAAACAAAUAGCAUGCAAAUACUUGGUGCUCCAGGGCUUCCUGAGCAGUUUGGUGAUGUUGAAAGUAAUGUAAAGAAAAUGCUGCGGCCUUAACAGUCACCAGAUCUCAACCCAGUUUCACACCUGGAAGAUUUUGACCAACGUGGAAGACAUUGCUCUCUACCACCAUCUCCAUAAGACCAAAUAAUAAUCUAAACCCUCAUCUUCAGAUCUACGUAGUGAUGUCUGUGACUGUCUGAUGCUAUAUGCUAGCAUGUAUUCGUACCGGACUGUUUUGGUACAGGACUUUCGUAACGGUGAAAAUGUGCACCAGUUGCAGUCUUUUUGUGCGUGGAACAUACGUUAAGUUUUAAGCACAUUAUGAAGGUGACUGAGCCCCGGUAUGAAAUUCCUUCUCGUCCACAUUUCAGCCAAAAAGUUGAAGUGAACAGGCUAAAACUGCUGUUGUCUACAACCUGUCCAAGGCAUCUGCUAUAGCACUCAGAAAUGAUGGAUGGACAUCUAGAGCUACCGAGAGCUGCUUAACAGUCACUGCCCAUCACAUCGCUCCAGAAUGGAACAUGGUAAGCCAUGUUCUGCAAACAAAGACAGUGUUGGAGUGGAAGUUGAAGAGGCCAGGAACUACAAUUCCUGUCACAACAGACAAUGCUAGGAAUAUUGUCAAUGCAGUCAGUGAAGCUGGACUGGGCCCUCAAAUUGGAUGUUUUGCACACACAAUUAAUUUAGCGUCACAGAAAGCAACAGGUCUCAACCAGGCCCAUCAGCUGCCAACACAUUCUCAUCUCAAUGCAUCAUAACUGACGCUUUCAGACAGCGUGACAAAGCAGAAGGAUUUUACGCUAAAGGUACCCUUCAGCGUCUGUAUGAAACACCCCCAUUUGCUACGUUGCAGCAACACAAGGGAGGCUAACCCUACCUGUUAGCACAUCGGCCGCGAGGGUUAGCCUGUCAACAUGCAUAAAGUCAGUGACUUAGGUUUAGGUACUAACAUUUCUGAUGGUUGUGGUAAGGGUAGGGGGUUCGGGGGGCUGUCAACACCUUUAUAACACCUUCUCAUAGAGACGCUUCUAGAAAUAACUACGCUUUGUCACUCUUUCUCAAAUCGUCGGUAUAUGCCGCCCUGAGAUGAGAACGGGCUCCAGCUGCACACAUAUUGGAGAGCAAACAGGAAAUGCUUAAUAUACCAAAACACACCCUUAAGGCCUUUUCACAUGGGAAUUGAAACUCUGCUUGCGUAGUUGCGCUUCUCAUGUGAACAGAAACCGAGACAAGCACGCCUUGAGUAAACGGGGCAGGCAUCGCUUGUCGCUACGCCUGUUGCGAUGCCUGCGUCUCCCUUCCUACACUCAUUGAAAAUGAAUUACGAGGCACGUAAAUUAUUUCCCGUGUGAAAAGGCCAUUAUUCGUGAUGUCACCACCCGCUGGAACUCCAGUUAUGAUAUGCUUGAGAGGUACCUUGAACAGCAAGCAGCUGUAUACUCUGCACUGACAGAAAAGGCCCUCAAGAAGAAUAAAGAAAUAAGAACGGUGUCUGACCAGGAUGUGAAAAUGGCAGAGGAGGUACUUGAGGUCCUUAAACCACUAAAAAUCCUCAUAACACUGAUAAGCACUGAAGCUGCAUCUUCAGUAUCAAUGAUCCUCCCCCUCAAAACUACAAUCCUCAAGUCUAUGGAACCCAAUGAACCAACUUUUGAGAGAAGUCAAGGCUGCCAUCACAGAACACCUGAGGAACAGAUACUGUACUUGUCAUGACUUCCUCCAAAACAUGCACAGAACUUGAUCAAGGUUUCAAGGCCCUUCCUCAUGUGGAUGAUGCCUGUUGUGACAGAAUCUACAACAGCCUCAUCACAGAGAUUGUAACCAUAGAAGAACAGAGUGAGGAGACCACAGCAGUUAGUUUAUCCCUAGUAACAGGACACCCAGAGGCAUUACCUCCUCCUGUCAAGAAGUCAGCCAUGGCUGAACUGUUUGGUGAACUCUUCAGGUGGGAAACAAGCCUACUUUGAAGCUGGUGAAGGAAGAGGUUACUUUAUACAAGGCUGUGGACUGCCUUUCACUGGAUUCCAACCCUCUUGUAUGGUGGAGGACCAAUGAGCCCACAUAUGCUCAUAUUGCCAAGUUAGCAAAGCGCUACAAUGCUGCACCUGCUACCUCAGUCCCUAGCGAGAGGGUAUUUUCUGCAGCUGGAGACAUUGUAACUGCCAGCAGAUCUGCCCUUUCUGUGGACAAUGUGGAUAAGUACAUUUUUCUGACAAAAAACAUGAAAGUUGAAUGAAUCUGAGCAGGCCUACAAGAUGGAGCUGUUGAUGCUGCACUUUAAAAGUUACACACACAUUUCUUAAAAAAACUUCAUAAUAAACAACCAGCAAUUUAAUGUUUGCAUUUUUUUCUCCUUACUGUACCAAAAAUCAACCGAACUGUGACUGUAAAACCGAGGUACAUACUGAACCGUGAUUUUUGUAUACUGUUACACCCCUACUAUAUGUCCUUAGUUCUGUCUGGCUGUGUUUGAUAGAUAGAAAUUCUCCUUCGAAAAGGCUAAUUAAAAAAAACCAACAAUUUAAA